rnacentral:rRNA from 1 species
AGUCUUAAGAAAAUAUUUAAGAUAAUGUCUGCUCAAUGUAUAUAAAAUAUAAAUUGCCGCAGUACUCUGACUGUGCAAAGGUAGCAUAAUAAUUUGUCCUUUAAUUAAGGUCUUGAAUGAAAGGCUUUAUGGAAAGAAACUGUUUCUUAUAUUUUUAGUAAAACUUACUUUUUAAGUGAAAAAGCUUAAAUUAAUUAAGAGGACGAGAAGACCCUAUGAAUUGAUAAUAAAAAAUUUAUUUUAAUUUUAUUUCUUUGUUGGGGCAACAUGAAAACAUUAAACUUUUUUUAUAUUAAAAUAAAAAUAUGACAAAUAUUAUUAGAAAGAAACAAUUACCAUAGGGAUAACAGCAUAAUUCUGUAAAGAGUUUGUGACCUCGAUGUUGGACUAGGAAUUAUAUAGAUUAAAAGUUUAUAAUUAUGGUUCUGUUCGA